UGGGGAAUAUUGCACAAUGGGCGCAAGCCUGAUGCAGCCAUGCCGCGUGUAUGAAGAAGGCCUUCGGGUUGUAAAGUACUUUCAGCGGGGAGGAAGGGAGUAAAGUUAAUACCUUUGCUCAUUGACGUUACCCGCAGAAGAAGCGCCGGCUAACUCCGUGCCAGCAGCCGCGGUAAUACGGAGGGUGCAAGCGUUAAUCGGAAUUACUGGGCGUAAAGCGCACGCAGGCGGUUUGUUAAGUCAGAUGUGAAAUCCCCGGGCUCAACCUGGGAACUGCAUCUGAUACUGGCAAGCUUGAGUCUCGUAGAGGGGGGUAGAAUUCCAGGUGUAGCGGUGAAAUGCGUAGAGAUCUGGAGGAAUACCGGUGGCGAAGGCGGCCCCCUGGACGAAGACUGACGCUCAGGUGCGAAAGCGUGGGGAGCAAACAGG
rnacentral:rRNA from 2 species